AAUAAACACUUUCUAUCCUCCGGUCUCGCUCUCGAUUUAUCGGUAAAAAGUAAGGAUGUGGCCAGUCUUUAUCUAAGCCACUUCUGGUCAAGUCUCUUCAUUCUUCUCAGAACUUGAGUUGUAGGGUGUUUCACAACAUGGCCGUUGGAAAAGUAUUCUCUUAUCAUUUUACAAGAUACAGUUUUAGUGCAAUAUAUGCCGGAGUUAGGGGCCCUGAACGCUUGUUAUCCUUUCUUUGAAUCUGGAACAGUAUUUUGGGCCUGAGAAAAAGUAUGAAAUUGCUCAAACGAUGCCAUUUGAGUGGAACGGACCGACAAAAUUAUCCCUAACAGUAAGCUGUAUGCUAAAAAAAAUAAACCGAAAAUCAACAUGACAAUUUGAAGAAUGUUUUGUAGAAUAGUAGCUUAGCUCUUAUGACAUUUCAUAAAGUUAGCUCCGAGCAGCUAUGACAGUAAGGAAAAAACACAAAUCCCACUCCAAAUGAAAAAAGGACACAUUCAGCUAGGAAUUAUUCCGAUUCGGCUCUAAGUCCAGCAACGACUUACACUUAUAACUCCUUUAAAAGUCCUUAGGCAAACUCCCUUUUUCUUACAAGUGAUUACUUUAUAUUUCGAUAUUUUGUCUUCAAGAAUAAAAUAAUAAUGGUAACAUCUUUGAAAAAAAAAAAAAAAACAUUGUUCAGCUUGAAACUACAAAAAACUUGGGCUCACAUUAGGUCAAAUUUUAUACAACUUUGACUAUGUAUAACUAUAGAUAUAUAUUAAAUCCCAAAAUACUCCACAUAUUUAUACCUUUUUAUAAUAUAAGAAAAUUGCAACAAAUAUAUUUUUGACAAAAUAA
rnacentral:lncRNA from 1 species